rnacentral:rRNA from 1 species
AUUGAACGCUGGCGGCAGGCCUAACACAUGCAAGUCGAGCGAGCGGCGGACGGGUGAGAAAUGUCUGGGAAACUGCCUGUUGGAGGGGGAUAACUACUGGAAACGGUAGCUAAUACCGCAUACCAUCAGAUGUGCCCCGAUGGGAUUAGCUAGUAGGUGGGGUAACGGCUCACCAGGGCGCCGAUCCCCAGCUGGUCUGAGAGGAUGACCAGCCAGACUGGAACUGGGACACGGUCCAGAAGCCUACGGGAGGCAGCAGUGGGGAAUAUUGCACAAUGGGCGAAAGCCUGAUGCAGCCAUGCCGCGUGUGUGAAGAAGGCCUUCGGGUUGUAAAGCACUUUCAGCGGGGAGGCGUUACCCGCAGAAGAAGCACCGGCUAACUCCGUGCCAGCAGCCGCGGUAAUAC